UAGCAUAUCAAUAAGCGGAGGAAAAGAAACCAACAGGGAUUGCCCUAGUAACGGCGAGUGAAGCGGCAACAGCUCAAAUUUGAAAUCUGGCCCUCGGGUCCGAGUUGUAAUUUGUAGAGGAUGCUUUUGGCGCGGUGCCUUCCGAGUUCCCUGGAACGGGACGCCUUAGAGGGUGAGAGCCCCGUACGGUUGGACACCAAGCCUCUGUAAAGCUCCUUCGACGAGUCGAGUAGUUUGGGAAUGCUGCUCUAAAUGGGAGGUAAAUUUCUUCUAAAGCUAAAUAUUGGCCAGAGACCGAUAGCGCACAAGUAGAGUGAUCGAAAGAUGAAAAGCACUUUGAAAAGAGGGUUAAAUAGCACGUGAAAUUGUUGAAAGGGAAGCGUUUGCGACCAGACUUUUUCCUGGCGGAUCAUCCGGUGUUCUCACCGGUGCACUUCGCCUGGUAAAGGCCAGCAUCGGUUUCGGUAGGGGGAUAAAAGCCUUGGGAACGUAGCUCUUUCGGGAGUGUUAUAGCCCCUGGCAUAAUACCCUUACGGGGACCGAGGACCGCGCUUCGGCAAGGAUGCUGGCAUAAUGGUCGUCAACGACCCGUCUUGAAACACGGACCAAGGAGUCGAACAUUUGUGCGAGUGUUUGGGUGUUAAACCCUCACGCGUAAUGAAAGUGAACGGAGGUGAGAGCCCUUACGGGUGCAUCAUCGACCGAUCCUGAUGUCUUCGGAUGGAUUUGAGUAAGAGCAUAACUGUUCGGACCCGAAAGAUGGUGAACUAUGCGUGGAUAGGGUGAAGCCAGAGGAAACUCUGGUGGAGGCUCGCAGCGGUUCUGACGUGCAAAUCGAUCGUCAAAUCUGCGCAUGGGGGCGAAAGACUGAUCGA
rnacentral:rRNA from 1 species